UCCUACGGGAGGCAGCAGUGGGGAAUUUUGGACAAUGGGCGCAAGCCUGAUCCAGCAAUGCCGCGUGAGUGAAGAAGGCCUUCGGGUUGUAAAGCUCUUUUGUCAGGGAAGAAACGGUGAGUCCUAAUAUGGCUUGCUAAUGACGGUACCUGAAGAAUAAGCACCGGCUAACUACGUGCCAGCAGCCGCGGUA
rnacentral:rRNA from 1 species